ensembl:snRNA U6atac minor spliceosomal RNA
GUGUGUUUGAAUGGGGGAAAGGUUAGCACUCCCCAUGACAAACAUGGAAGAGGACCUAGUGACCAGUUAGGUAAUUUGGGUCCAGAGAGUAAUAGUCCAGACCAGGAUUUUGU